rnacentral:lncRNA from 1 species
AAGUAUUCCACUUUCCUUUUUAAGCCAUGGUCCCACCAUCCACCUUUAUAUUUUAUCCUUACAAAUACUCUUUAUUUACAAAAAAUCCACCCCAAAUUCAAUCUCAACCACACAUCUCAUAAAGUGGUGGGGCCCUUUCUCCACUACAUCAACAUCAUCACACAUUUUAUUAAACUCCGUGCCCGGCCAAAGUGGAAUACUUUUGGCGGACGGAGGGAGUA